rnacentral:rRNA from 2 species
UCCGGUGAUGAUAGCGGAGGGGAGACACCCGUUCCCAUCCCGAACACGGCCGUUAAGCCCUCCAGCGCCGAUGGUACUUGGGGAUUUUCCCCUGGGAGAGCAGGACGUUGCCGGGA